rnacentral:lncRNA from 1 species
CAAAAGGUCAAUGCGGAUGUCUAUCGAAAGGAACAACCACCAUUCUACAUGGGUGAUAAGGUAUGGUUACUUCGUCACAAUAUCAAGACCACUCGUCCUUGUGACAAGCUGGACUAUUGAAGGCUUGGAUCAUUUUCAAUUUCUGUACAAAUCAAUCCACUUGUAUAUUGUUUACAUCUACCGGUGUCGUAAUACAUGAAGUCUAGCUUGAGAAUGCUCCGAGCACCUGGCUGUAGAAGGAAGAAUGGAAAUUGUAAUAAUAAAAUCCUAAUUCUAAUAGAAUACUAAAAAUACUCUAAUUAGACUAUAAUAAUGCUAAGCAAGCUUAAUCAAAUUCAAAAAAACUUCAAAGAAAUUUCAAACAAACAAUAGGAAUUUUUAAAGAAACUUUAAAAAAAACACAAAUGUCAUUCAAAUACAUCUCAAUUCAAUCUUAAUUUAAUUCUAGUUAAAAUCUUAUUGAACUUCAUUCAAAAUUUAAGCCAAACUAAUUGAAUCUUAAAUCCUAAUAAAAUCCUAAACCCUAAAUCAAAUCUUAACCAAAUCCUAAACCAAAUCCUAAUCUAAACCCUAAACCCUAAAUCAAAUCCUAACCAAAUCCUAAAUCCUAAACCUUAAAUCAAAUCCUAACCAAAUCCUAAAUCCUAAAUCAAAUCCUAACCGAAUCCUAAACCAAAUCCUAAUCCAAACCCUAAACCCUAAACCAAAUCCUAAUCCAAACCCUAAACCCUAAACCAAAUCCUAACCAAAUCCUAAUCCAAACCCUAAUUCGAAUCUUAAACCCUAAAUCGAAUCCUAAUCAAAUUCUAAACCCUAAAUCAAAUCCUAUCUAAAUCCUAAACCCUAAAUCAAAUCCUAAUCCAAAUCCUAAACCCUAAACCAAACCCUAACCAAAUCCUAAACCCUAAAUCGAAUCCUAAUCUAAAUCCUAAAUCCUAAACCAAAUCCUAAUCCAAACCCUAAAUCCGAAACCAAAUCCUAAUCAAACCUUAAUCCCUAACCAAAUCCUAAUCCAAACCAUAAACCCUAAACCAAACCCUAAAUCAAACCCUAAUCCAAACCCUAAAUCCCAAACCAAAUCCUAACCAAAUCCUAAUAAUUCCUAC